UACGUAGGGCGCAAGCGUUGUCCGGAAUUAUUGGGCGUAAAGAGCUCGUAGGCGGUCUGUCGCGUCGGAUGUGAAAGCCCGGGGCUUAACCCCGGGUCUGCAUUCGAUACGGGCAGACUAGAGUGUGGUAGGGGAGAUCGGAAUUCCUGGAGUAGCGGUGAAAUGCGCAGAUAUCAGGAGGAACACCGGUGGCGAAGGCGGAUCUCUGGGCCAUUACUGACGCUGAGGAGCGAAAGCGUGGGGAGCGAACAGG
rnacentral:rRNA from 1 species